GACUCUCGGCAACGGAUAUCUCGGCUCUCGCAUCGAUGAAGAACGCAGCAAAAUGCGAUACUUGGUGUGAAUUGCAGAAUCCCGUGAAUCAUCGAGUUUUUGAACGCAAGUUGCGCCCGAAGCCUUUCGACCGAGGGCACGCCUGCCUGGGUGUCA
rfam:Ricinus communis cultivar Hale ctg_1100012285286, whole genome shotgun sequence.